GAAAAUCAGAGGCUUAAGCUUAGAGUAAUAAACCUGUUAAUCUUACACAAAACUAACAGUGAAAGGAAAGGAGGGCAAGCUUGGAUGGGGGCUCCACUUAGAAGAAGGUCACUUUGGUGACUCAAAAGUCACUAACUCUUCUUUCUGUUUUGAGGCAGGAUUUUAGGAACCAAAAGCCUUCCCCAGGACGAGAAGGACAGAGGCCUCCACGGCUGGACAAACCUGUUGGAAAGGUCGAGCUUGGGCUUGUCGGAGAAGCCGCUGCUGCUGCUGCUGUUGCUGCUGCUGCAAGAGCUUCAUCUGGAUCAGCUGCUGCUGGGAGAUACAGACAGAGAGAAAUUGAGAGGGGAAGAGACAAAGAGAGACACGUGUAGCACUGCUUCACCACUCAGGAAGCUUCCCCCUUGCAGUUGGAAUAGGAAGCUUGAACUAGGGUCCUUGUACAUGGUGACAUGUGUGCUCGGCCAGGUGGGCCGCUGAAAGAAGAUACUUUCAAAACUUGGAACAUCUGGAAACUUCAAAUUCCAUAAUGGUAAAGACCAAACACUUUUUUUUCUCAAGUCAGGAAAGGAAAUACAUAAAAUGAAACGAAAAAUAACUACUGAUGCUUAAGAAAUCAAAGGAAAAAUGUAAAACAUGCAGAAGCUAGGAAAGGUUUUCUACACCUGCAUAUCUGUAAGUGGGUUCUUCGUUUAUGAGUCUAUAUUCUUAAAUAUAUGUAAGAAAACUUCUAUAUAACUACUUCAGAGAAGGCAUUCUUUCAAAUUAAAUAAUUGUAUGAUAGAAACAAACAUCUCAAAAAAAAAAAAAAAGAAAGAAACACACAUCUCAGGGCUGUUUAUUAAAAUAAACGACAACAGCAAAAAAAAACACAAAAACAAAAAACCCACAUUUCUUUAAAAGACCGAAUAGCAACAUGAUUGAGGAAGUCUUUCAGCAGCAUUUGCAGAACAUUUGGGGAAAAGGGAAAGUCAGCUUGAGUGGCAAGUGAAAGACAACUGUUACUGAAUAACUGGAAUUAUACUAAAGACUUGAUCAACUCACCCUGUGUAAGAGACUUCAAAAGGUUAGACUAUGCUCUACUUUAAUUUUCAUAGCUUUUCUAUAAUCUUGUACCUUCCUUUGAGUGAACCAAAGGAAUAAAAUGUGGCUGAAGUCCUUAGUAGAUCUACCUA